rnacentral:rRNA from 1 species
UACGUAGGUGGCAAGCGUUGUCCGGAUUUACUGGGCGUAAAGAGCGCGCAGGCGGUCGUCCAAGUCGCGUGUGAAAGCCCCCGGCUCAACUGGGGAGGGUCACGCGAUACUGGUCGACUCGAAGGCAGGAGAGGGUAGUGGAAUUCCCGGUGUAGUGGGUGAAAUGCGUAGAUAUCGGGAGGAACACCAGUGGCGAAGGCGACUACCUGGCCUGUUCUUGACGCUGAGGCGCGAAAGCUAGGGGAGCAAACGGG